rnacentral:rRNA from 1 species
GACGAACGCUGGCGGCGCGCCUAACACAUGCAGGUCGAACGAGCAAGCGAGAGCUUGCUUUCUCGAGCGAGUGGCGAACGGGUGAGUAACGCGUGAGGAACCUGCCUCAAAGAGGGGGACAACAGUUGGAAACGACUGCUAAUACCGCAUAAGCCCACGGUGCCGCAUGGCACAGAGGGAAAAGGAGCAAUCCGCUUUGAGAUGGCCUCGCGUCCGAUUAGCUAGUUGGUGAGGUAAUGGCCCACCAAGGCGACGAUCGGUAGCCGGACUGAGAGGUUGAACGGCCACAUUGGGACUGAGACACGGCCCAGACUCCUACGGGAGGCAGCAGUGGGGAAUAUUGCACAAUGGGGGAAACCCUGAUGCAGCGACGCCGCGUGGAGGAAGAAGGUCUUCGGAUUGUAAACUCCUGUUGUUGGGGAAGAUAAUGACGGUACCCAACAAGGAAGUGACGGCUAACUACGUA